CUGUCUCAUCAACAUUCUCGCGAGAUUUGGCACGGCGCCCCAUGAAUCUGUCCAAUCAUUUUUGCUCUUCCUGGAAAACACGCAUGCGCAUUUAGUGGGCGAAUGUGACUUGUAUCGAUUGGAGGAAACAAUUCAGCAUCGAAGGAAUAACGACUGAAACAACCUUUGUCAGUAUUUACAUAGUAUUGGAGUGUCAAAAUGACAAAACGAAAACCUGCAAAACGAUGGAGAAGAACCGGUAAAGAAGUCGACUCAAAUAAACGAUCAAGAAGGACUGUACAAUUGCCACCAAUGUGAAUGUGGAGACUGAUGAGCAAUGUCUAAAAGGUAGCAGCAGGGGAACAGAAGGAGCCCAAAACACUGCUCUUCAUAUGGAACACAUCCAACUUCCAGGUGUCCAUGCAGGAUGUACCACUCUGGAACAUCAAACCUCUCCCUACCCGCCAAGUACACCCACCGUCUUCUGUGUCUAACUAAUGUUUUGCUGUGAAUUUUGUCACAAAGCAUAUCCUGCUAAAAUAUGCCAAACUUUUGAGUGUAAGAAUGUGAGCGAUAUGCUGAGAUGUUAUACGUUUUGCCUUGUGACAAAAUGUUAUAAAAAACCUUUAAUGAUUUUUAUUCUAUUUUAAUUUCAGCACAUGAAAAUAUUUCUACUUUUGACUCUAUCAAAGACAAUGGAAAACCAUUUUCCAGAUCAGCCCUCAUAGAUCCUCCUGAUGGCCUAACAACUGAACUACAUGUCGAUGCUGAGUAUGAUCCAUCUCAAUCAUUUGAGGAAUAUCUCCCUGAUAUGGGGGAUUGGAUGUACAAUGACGGACAUAUGUUUAAUGAAGGAUUUGAAGAUAGUUUGAGUGAGGAGUGUGCAGAAGAGUCAAAUAUCAAGGACACAACAGACAAACCAUUAUAUGACAAUGCAUCAGUAACCGUGGCAGAGUGCCUUCUGAUCAUCAGGGCUUAUGAAAACUGUCAUAAAGUCACUGAUAAGGCCCUAUAAUCGAUUUGCUGAAAAUGUUCAAGCUGCUUUGUCCCGAUAGUCUGAAUGCAGACUGCUUAAACAGUGUGCAGAAGUUCAAAAACUUUCUUUUAUCCUGCUCUGCAUCAUCGCCUAUUUUAUUACAUAAAUACUGCAGUAAUUGUUCUGGGCAAUUAGAAAGUAAACAAAUAAAAUGUCUGUCUUGUGGGACCAGUGUGUCAGAAGAAAGAUCUUCAUCCUUUAUAGAGGUUCCAAUUAAGGCUCACAUAAGGUCAUUGUUCCUCAAGCCAGGUUUUCAGGAGAAGCUUAACUUCAGAUUAAGCAGAAAGAAGGCAGAUGCUAACAACAUUGAAGAUAUAUAUGAUGCAGAAGUUUACAAACAGCUUGUCGAUAGGGGUGGUCCUCUUAGUGACCCUAAAAACAUCUCACUUGGAACACCGAUGAAGACAAAAAUUGAUAUUUGUUAAGGCUCAUACAUGGUACUCAAAAUAUACCUAUGCAGAUGGUAAAUGUAGUCAAACUUGUGCAGUCUAUUCCUGUUAUUUCACAAACUAUUAAACCAGGGAAUGUCAUAGCUGAAUUUUACAGACAUAUGACUAAAGAUGAUAGUUUCUGUCAGGAAAACAAAUAUUUGUCUAGGAUUAAACUAUAUGGAGCACCUAGUGAACUUCUAUUGGACACAGUUCACCUCUCUGCAUUGCAAAUACAUGCUGGUCACUGCAUCAAUUCUGGAACAGUAAGCAUCUUUCACAGGGCACAAGUUAAGAGAAAUUAUCUCACAUCAAAACACUAUGGUAAAGGUAAUAGUAGAAACAAUUUUACAGUUUUUUUUUCAAAUGACGGACAAACAAAGUAUGGACAGAUUGAUUUCUUCUUUAUCAUAGCACAAUCAUGUGCCAAAUGGGCCCUCCUUCGUGAAUUCAAACAUGCAGGGUUUUCUUUGCUGCAAGAUAGUGUAACAAAUGGUACAUGAAGUCAUGUUAUUUCCCUAUUGGAAACCUCUGCCAGUAAGUACAGUAGUAUGAUUGGAUGACAUAUUGGGUAAAGUUGUUUUCCUUUGCUUCACAUCUGUGCCUGGCAUUGUGUUUUCAGUUUAUUUCCCAAACACACUUGAAAAGUUUUAACUAAUUAAGAACUCAACUGGCCUAAGAAGUCACAAAUCAAAUAUUUGAUCAUUGUUAUAAAUGCUCUGAAAAUACACACCGAUGAGAUGUUGCCGUGGAUGCUGUAAAAGUCUGUAAAAAUGUACUGUAUAUGGAGUAUCAUUGUUGAUUAAGUUUUUGCAUUGUCUGUAAUAUUUCAGUGGCCAAUAUAUUAAAAUGUACUUGUUAAAUAAAA